rnacentral:rRNA from 1 species
GCGCGAAAACUUUACAAUGCUGGCAACAGCGAUAAGGGAACCUCGAGUGCCAGGUUACAAAUCUGGCUGUCGAGAUGCCUAAAAAGCAUUUCAUAGCAAGGGCCGGGCAAGACCGGUGCCAGCCGCCGCGGUAACACCGGCGGCUCGAGUGGUAACCGUUAUUAUUGGGUCUAAAGGGUCUGUAGCCGGCCGGAUAAGUCUCUUGAGAAAUCUGGCAGCUUAACUGUCAGGCUUUCAGGAGAUACUGUCUGGCUCGAGGCCGGGAGAGGUGAGAGGUACUUCAGGGGUAGGGUGAAAUCUUGUAAUCCUUGAAGGACCACCAGUGGCGAAGGCGUCUCACCAGAACGGACCUGACGGCAAGGGACGAAAGCUAGGGGCACGAACCGGAUUAGAUACCCCAGU